rnacentral:rRNA from 1 species
UACGUAGGGGGCUAGCGUUGUCCGGAAUCAUUGGGCGUAAAGAGCGCGUAGGCGGCCAGAUAAGUCCGGUGUGAAAGUCACAGGCUCAACCUGUGAAUGCCGCUGGAAACUGUCUGGCUAGAGUCCGGGAGGGGCGAGUGGAAUUCCUGGUGUAGCGGUGAAAUGCGCAGAUAUCAGGAGGAACACCAAUGGCGAAGGCAGCUCGCUGGGACGGUACUGACGCUGAGGCGCGAAAGCGUGGGGAGCGAACAGG